rnacentral:rRNA from 1 species
GGAGUCUAGCAUGUGCGCGAGUCAUUGGGACAUGACUAAACCUAAAGGCGCAAUGAAAGUGAAGGUCCGCCUUGCGCGGACCGAGGGAGGAUGGGCGGUCGUUGCGGCUGCCGCCCCGCACUCCCGGGGCGUCUCGUUCUCAUUGCGAGAAGAGGCGCACCAAGAGCGUACACGCUGGAACCCGAAAGAUGGUGAACUAUGCCUGGUCAGGACGAAGUCAGGGGAAACCCUGAUGGAGGUCCGUAGCGAUUCUGACGUGCAAAUCGAUCGUCGGAACUGGGUAUAGGGGCGAAAGACUAAUCGAACCAUCUAGUAGCUGGUUCCCUCCGAAGUUUCCCUCAGGAUAGCUGGCGCUCGUUGCGCACGAGUUUCAUCCGGUAAAGCGAAUGAUUAGAGGCAUUGGGGUCGAAACGGCCUCAACCUAUUCUCAAACUUUAAAUGGGUGAGAUCUCCGGCUUGCUCGAACUACUGAAGCCGCGAGACUCGAAUCAGAGUGCCAAGUGGGCCAUUUUUGGUAAGCAGAACUGGCGCUGUGGGAUGAACCAAACGCCGAGUUAAAGCGCCUAAAUCGACGCUUAUGGGAUACCAUGAAAGGCGUUGGUAACUUAAGACAUCAGGACGGUGGCCAUGGAAGUC